rnacentral:rRNA from 1 species
GACGAACGCUGGCGGCGUGCUUAACACAUGCAAGUCGAACGGAAAGGCACUGCUUUUGUGGGGUGCUCGAGUGGCGAACGGGUGAGUAACACGUGAGUAACCUGCCCUUGACUUUGGGAUAACUUCAGGAAACUGGGGCUAAUACCGGAUAGGAGCUCCUGCUGCAUGGUGGGGGUUGGAAAGUUUCGGCGGGUGGGGAUGGACUGGCGGCUUAUCAGCUUGUUGGUGGGGGAGUGGCUUACCAAGGCUUUGACGGGUAGCCGGCCUGAGAGGGUGACCGGCCACAUUGGGACUGAGAUACGGCCCAGACUCCUACGGGAGGCAGCAGUGGGGAAUAUUGCCCAAUGGGCGGAAGCCUGAUGCAGCAACGCCGCGUGCGGGAUGACGGCCUUCGGGUUGUAAACCGCUUUCGCCUGUGACGAAGCGUGAGUGACGGUAAUGGGUAAAGAAGCACCGGCUAACUACGUG